rnacentral:ncRNA from 2 species
AGCUCAUCCAGAGGGACUGAGGGAACGGCCCGUUGACGUCCCGGCAACCCUCCCGCCGCUCUCGCCCGUCCGCCGCCUCCGCGGCGCGUACGACCAGCGAGGCCACGGUGGGGACGGUGCCAAUUCCGGCCUGCGGCGAGAAGCGCCGUGGGGAAGAUGAGGA